UCCGAGUUGACCCCGGCAGUCUCCUGCGAGUCCCCGCCAUUACGCGCUGGCAACACAGGACAAGGGUUGCGCUCGUUGCGGGACUUAACCCAACAUCUCACGACACGAGCUGACGACAGCCAUGCACCACCUGUAUACCGACCACAAGGGGGGCCACAUCUCUGCAGCUUUCCGGUAUAUGUCAAACCCAGGUAAGGUGGGGAUGACGUCGUAUCUCACUG
rnacentral:misc_RNA from 1 species